GGGGAAUAUUGCACAAUGGGGGAAACCCUGAUGCAGCCAUGCCGCGUGUGUGAAGAAGGCCCUAGGGUUGUAAAGCACUUUCAAUUGGGAGGAAAAGCUUGUCGUUAAUAGCGGCAAGCCCUGACGUUACCUUUAGAAGAAGCACCGGCUAACUCCGUGCCAGCAGCCGCGGUAAUACGGAGGGUGCGAGCGUUAAUCGGAAUUACUGGGCGUAAAGCGCGCGUAGGCGGUUGCCUCAGUCGGAUGUGAAAGCCCCGGGCUUAACCUGGGAACUGCAUCCGAUACUGGGCGACUAGAGUACGAGAGAGGGGGGUAGAAUUCCACGUGUAGCGGUGAAAUGCGUAGAUAUGUGGAGGAAUACCAGUGGCGAAGGCGGCCCCCUGGCUUGAUACUGACGCUGAGGUGCGAAAGCGUGGGGAGCAAACAGG
rnacentral:rRNA from 1 species